rnacentral:rRNA from 1 species
GGAAACCUUGUUACGACUUUUACUUCCUCUAAAUCAUCAAGUUCGGUCAACUUCAGCGAUUCAAAUGUAAUCCGGGAAGGACUAGCAAAUGUUCACCUUCAAAGACCUCACUAAAUAAUCCAUCGGUAGUAGCGAC